UUCCUUCCCGUGUCAACCAUGUUAGUAGGGAAAGGAUGCUGAUCAAUCUUCAUUGGCUUCGCUAGCUUUGUUGAGACUUCGAACUUGAGUCUGCCUUGCUCGAUGGAUGAUUGUAUUUGCUGUCGGAAGAUUUUGCAUUCGUUUGUAUCGUGAGACGUGACAUUGUGCCAUUUGCAAUACUUCAUCUUCUUGAGCUGUUCGGCCGAUGGGAUAGUGUGGUAAGGUGAAAGCUUG
rnacentral:lncRNA from 1 species